UUAAUAAUAUUCUUAUAUAAAAUAUAAUUAUUUUUAUAUUUGGUCCUUUCGUACUAAAAUAUAACAAUUUUUUAAAGAUAGAAACCAACCUGGCUUACACCGGUUUGAACUCAGAUCAUGUAAGAAUUUAAAAGUCGAACAGACUUAAAAUUUGAACAGCUACACCCAAAAUUAUAUCUUAAUCCAACAUCGAGGUCGCAAUCUUUUUUAUCGAUAUGAACUCUCCAAAAAAAUUACGCUGUUAUCCCUAAAGUAACUUAAAUUUUUAAUCACUACAAAUGGAUCAAUUAUUCAUAAAUUAAUGGUUUUUUAAAUUAAAAGUUUAUUAAAUUUUAAUAUCACCCCAAUAAAAUAUUUUAAUUUAUUAUAAUAAAAAUAAUCUUUAUAACUAAAAUAAACAAAAUAUAAAGAUUUAUAGGGUCUUCUCGUCUUUUAAACUUAUUUUAGCUUUUUGACUAAAAAAUAAAAUUCUAUAAAAAAUUUAAAUGAAAC
rnacentral:rRNA from 1 species